rnacentral:rRNA from 1 species
AACGCGAAGAACCUUACCUGGGCUUGACAUGUGAGUGACCGGUGUGGAAACACACCCUCCCUUCGGGGCACUUUCACAGGUGGUGCAUGGCUGUCGUCAGCUCGUGUCGUGAGAUGUUGGGUUAAGUCCCGCAACGAGCGCAACCCCCGUCGCAUGUUGCCAGCAUUCAGUUGGGGACUCAUGCGAGACUGCCGGUGACAAACCGGAGGAAGGUGGGGAUGACGUCAAGUCAUCAUGCCCCUUAUGUCCAGGGCUACACACGUGCUACAUUGGCGCGUACAGAGGGCUGCGAUACCGCGAGGUGGAGCGAAUCCCUUAAAGCGCGUCUCGGUUCGGAUUGCAGGCUGAAACUCGCCUGCAUGAAGGCGGAGUUGCUAGUAAUCGCGGAUCAGCACUGCCGCGGUGAAUACGUUCCCGGGCCUUGUA